GAUGAACGCUAGCUACAGGCUUAACACAUGCAAGUCGAGGGGUAGCACGGAGGAAGCUUGCUUCCUUGGGUGACGACCGGCGCACGGGUGAGUAACGCGUAUCCGACCUACCCAUUACUCGGGCACAGCCGCUCGAAAGAGUGAUUGAUUCCCGAUAUGUCCUUGGAGUAGAUUCAAUGAUGAAAGAUUUAUCGGUAAUGGAUGGGGAUGCGUAAGAUUAGGUAGUAGGCGGGUAACGGCCACCUAGCCGACGAUCUUUAGGGGUUCUGAGAGGAAGGUCCCCACACUGGUACUGAGACACGGCCCAGACUCCUACGGGAGGCAGCAGUGGGGGAUAUUGCACAAUGGAGGAAACUCUGAUGCAGCAACGCCGCGUGAGGGAAGAAGGUCUUCGGAUUGUAAACCUUGUUUUAGUGAAGAAAAAUGACGGUAGCUAAAGAGGAAGCCACGGCUAACUAACGUGCCAGCAGCCGC
rnacentral:rRNA from 1 species